rnacentral:rRNA from 1 species
CACACCGUAAACGAUGAAUGCUAGGUGUAGGUGGUAUCGACCCCAUCUGUGCCGUAGUAAACACAAUAAGCAUUCCGCCUGGGGAGUACGGUCGCAAGAUUAAAACUCAAAGGAAUUGACGGGGGCCCGCACAAGCAGCGGAGCAUGUGGUUUAAUUCGAAGCAACGCGAAGAACCUUACCAGGUCUUGACAUCCAGUAAAGCCUGUAGAGAUACAGAUUCCCUUCGGGGGUACUGAGACAGGUGG